ACUCAACACAUAAUUCUUUAAAGAAGGUGAGUCGUGGUUGUAAAAGCAAGCCGGAUUUCAUAGCCGGAUCCUUGAUCAGCUCGUUAGCCUUAAACGUUAUUUAAGGAGUUC
rnacentral:sRNA from 1 species